rnacentral:misc_RNA from 1 species
UUCAAUCAAUUCCAUUUGAAAACUAUUAUAUUUACUUACACUUAUUUAUUGAUAUUCCACUUUAUUCAGUGUUUUUAUCCACUAUUUAUGUCUAAUAUCAACACAAUGAGCCGUAAAGGGCCAGUCUUCGACCCUGGCCUCUGCCGUUGUUGCGGUGGUCUGAAGAAAUGUCGUUUGUUAAAUGUAGAAUACGAAUGGUCGGGACAAAAGGAAGUCUAUUCAGAUAUGUUCGUGGAUUGUUUUGGAUUAUUGCUGUCCCACCUGGAUGGAGAGGCAAUGGACCGUCUCAUAUGUGCUACAUGCGUCACUCGGCUGAGAGAGGCCUGCUCCUUCAGGAAGCAGGUGCUGUGUUGCGAGCAGAAGUUAUUACAGGCAAAAAUACACAUACACGGAGAGACAGAGGAGAAAAUCAACACUGAUGCAUUUGUAAAGGUGGAAAUGAGUGAUGUGAACCCUGAACCAGGAGAGGAUGAUUAUGUGGAUGACAUGGUUGACCACAUAGACGAUGAUCGUCAGAAUAUGAAGAAUGAACUGCUACCAGUGAAGCAAGCAAAUGACAAUGUCACGUCAAAGCAGGCGGCCACUGAGGAGCAUUUGAGAGCAAAACAUGAAAUGUUAGCCAAACUAAACAAGAUGAAGGACAAGCUGAAAAUUAUACAGAAGAGAGACAAAACAAACGCACCAGUACUGCCACCCCUGGUCAGCCACAAGUCGACUGACAAAGAGUUCAAUACGUACCACAACACGCUCACCAUAAUAGAGAACUCGUACGUGUGUCCCUUCUUCACGAUCUUCAGCGACUACCACUGCAUAUACUGUAGAGAGCUGUUCACCGAGUCAGACAAGCUAAUCGAGCAUACGAUGACCCACGAUCCCAGGGAAUACAAGGACGUAGCACUAGAGAAAAAGAUCCCUUUAAUCGACGUAAGCAGAGUCGAUUGUCGACUAUGUCCGGCCAGAAUCGACGAGGUGGAAUCGUUUAAAACACACAUCUCUAUGGUGCACAAUAAAGUGAUAUACGAUGAAGUGGAUACGGAGUUUUUGAAGUUUAAACUGAAGCCGGGCAAAGUGAGUUGCAUAGAGUGCGGCAGUACGUUCAGUUUCUUCCACGCGCUAAAACGACACAUGGCCGAGCACUUCGGCACUCAUAUAUGCGACGUGUGCGGCGCCCACUACUUCGACCAGCACGGCCUCUCCAAUCACAUGAAGACGCACACCCAGAAAGCGGACGAGAUGCACGUUUGCAAACACUGCACCAAGAGUUUCAAGUCCAAACACGGUCUCUACUACCAUAUGACUCACAGGCACAGUACUGUACCUUCGUAUCCCUGCUACAAGUGUGAUGAAGUGUUGUUCUCGUAUUACAAAAGGUACAAACAUAUGAUAGAGGUGCACGGUGAACACAGAUCGUUCCCAUGCGAGAACUGUGACAAGGUAUACAAUAAUAGAAAGACACUGAGGGAGCACAAUAAGAAGAAUCAUUUGAGGAUACUGAAACAUGAGUGUACGGUUUGUGAGAAGAAAUUUUACUUGCCAUCCGCUCUGAAGGACCAUAUGAUGUCGCACACAGGGGAAAGGAACUACAGGUGCGAAUACUGUGCGAAGACAUAUCCGCGUCUGAGGGCGCUCAAGGUGCACCUGCAUUCGCAUGAGAACGCAAAACGUUACAAGUGUACGUUGUGCAAUAAUGCGUAUACGCAGGCGAAUAAUUUGAAAACACAUAUGCGGACGAAGCACCAGGGGUUUGAGGUGAAAGAUGAUGAGUGAAUUCCAAUGUAGAGCAUGUUAUUUCUCAUCAAUUGAAAUUAUGGUCGGGCUUAAGGGGCGUUCGUAGUAUUGCGGGAUUUGUAAAACUACGAUGCGAUAUAGGGGCGGGAGGGGAGUUCGAACAACUUUACCUACCUUUUUUUUAUAACACAGGGGGCAAACGAGGUUUCAAAAAUCUUCAAACAUUGUGUUACAUAAUACUUGAACGUUCCCCUGCUAUAUACGACGCCUCAUAUACCUUAGUGCAGUGAUUCCCAAAGUAUAUUCCAUAGAACCUAGAGGUUACGUAGAAAAAUAUUUAUUUCUGGCUGUUAAAAAAUACCAUAGUUAAGUACAAAUAUUAUAUUAUUUCGAAAUAACACAAAAUAUGUGAUAAGAACUCAUUACUGUUAUGUUAGUUUAAUGGGUGAUAAUGGAAUGGUAACCCCGCCUGCGCUAUUGGGAUACGCUGACGGGCGGGGCACCAGUGAGAGAUGACAGGUGAGGAUAAAAAGGCAGGUCAGUUAGCCCAUCGUGACGAAUUGUACUAGAAUUAACUACGACGGUUUCCAGGGGGAACCGCGUGGAGGUCGACCUGAUAGGGUGUAUUGCUAGCAAUGGGUCAAUUAGCAAAACCCUUUCUCCCUACUGUUAUGUAUGUAGGUAGAUGGUAAACGUGAAUUCAACCCAGACUAUAGCACAGUGCGGAUGGAGCACGGAGGAUUCCGAAAAACGCGGG